GACGUAGGAUGCAAGCGUUGUCCGGAUUUAUUGGGCGUAAAGAGUUCGUAGGCGGUUCGUUAAGUCUGAUGUUAAAUAUCGGGGCUCAACCUCGGGAGUGCAUUGGAUACUGGCGGACUGGAGUGUGGUAGAGGUUAGUGGAAUUCCCAGUGUAGCAGUGAAAUGCGUAGAGAUCGGGAGGAACAUCAGUUGCGAAGGCGGCUCUCUGGACCAGCACUGACACUGAGGCACGAAAGCGUGGGGAGCAAACAGG
rnacentral:rRNA from 1 species